rnacentral:rRNA from 1 species
AACGAACGCUGGCGGCAUGCCUAACACAUGCAAGUCGAACGAAGCCUUCGGGCUUAGUGGCGCACGGGUGCGUAACGCGUGGGAAUCUGCCCUUAGGUACGGAAUAACUCAUGGAAACGUGUGCUAAUACCGUAUGAUGUCUUCGGACCAAAGAUUUAUCGCCUAGGGAUGAGCCCGCGUUGGAUUAGCUAGUUGGUGAGGUAAAGGCUCACCAAGGCGACGAUCCAUAGCUGGUCUGAGAGGAUGAUCAGCCACACUGGGACUGAGACACGGCCCAGACUCCUACGGGAGGCAGCAGUGGGGAAUAUUGGACAAUGGGCGAAAGCCUGAUCCAGCAAUGCCGCGUGAGUGAAGAAGGCCUUCGGGUUGUAAAGCUCUUUUACCCGGGAACGAUAAUGACUGUACCGGGAGAAUAAGCCCGGCUAACUCCGUGCCAGCAGCCGCGGUAAGCUCGUCUCUA